rnacentral:rRNA from 1 species
UACGAAGGGGCUAGCGUUGCUCGGAAUCACUGGGCGUAAAGGGUGCGUAGGCGGGUCUUUUAAGUCAGGGGUGAAAUCCUGGAGCUCAACUCCAGAACUGCCUUUGAUACUGAAGAUCUUGAGUUCGGGGAGAGGUGAGUGGUAACUGCGAGUGUAGAGGUGAAAUUCGUAGAUAUUCGCAAGAACACCAGUGGCGAAGGCGGCUCACUGGCCCGAUACUGACGGCUGAGGCACGGAAAGCGAUGGG